UCCACCUGUGACCUGUCACUGUCGAGGCUAUAUUUGCGCAAUAUUUCCUGAGCUCAACUUUGUCAAAUAUAUUCACUGUUGAUAAUCAGAGAGGGAGGCAUCACUCCGCAAUGUGCUUUAUCAUCUCGGCAAUUAAAAGGAAGAAUCUCCUGCCAGUUGAGCAUCUCGUCAGUUAAGCUAAACAACUGUCCGUUAUCCCCGCGCAAGGAGAAGUCUGGGCUGGAAACUGGGGACAGUCAAAGGCAGAAAAACACUGAGGAGUUAGCCAAGAGAAGGUGUAAACUGGUUGUCAUGAAAUCCUAUGCGCUGAGUUUGUCUCAUGGAGGUGGUUUGGGCAUCACAGAAGAAAUAGCUGCAAGAACUUCAUGGUGAAAGAGGAUUCAAUGGGUGAUCUGAAAAUCAGGAUUUUGUUCUUUCAUUUUCCUGGCAAUUCCUUUGACUUUCCCCAUCAUGGAUGUUGCUCUGUCAGAACAGACAUGG